CUCUGUGACUCCUACGGGAGGCAGCAGUGGGGAAUAUUGCACAAUGGGGGAAACCCUGAUGCAGCCAUGCCGCGUGUGUGAAGAAGGCCUUCGGGUUGUAAAGCACUUUCAGUAGGGAGGAAGGUAGUGUAGUUAACACCUGCAUUAUUUGACGUUACCUACAGAAGAAGCACCGGCUAACUCCGUGCCAGCAGCCGCGGUAAUACGGAGGGUGCGAGCGUUAAUCGGAAUUACUGGGCGUAAAGCGCAUGCAGGCGGCCUGUUAAGUCAGAUGUGAAAGCCCGGGGCUUAACCUCGGAAUUGCAUUUGAAACUGGCAGGCUAGAGUCUUGUAGAGGGGGUAGAAUUUCAGGUGUAGCGGUGAAAUGCGUAGAGAUCUGAAGGAAUACCAGUGGCGAAGGCGGCCCCCUGGACAAAGACUGACGCUCAGAUGCGAAAGCGUGGGGAGCAAACAGGAUUAGAUACCCUGGUGA
rnacentral:rRNA from 1 species